AGCAACAAAUGCCCUGCUUCCAGGAAAAGCCUCUAAGCCUCAGGUAACAUCAGAUCGUACCCGAAACCGACACAGGUGGUCAGGUAGAGAAUACCAAGGCGCUUGAGAGAACCCGGGUGAAGGAACUAGGCAAAAUGGUGCCGUAACUUCGGGAGAAGGCACGCUGACACGUAGGUGAAGCGGUUUACCCGUGGAGCUGAAGUCAGUCGAAGAUACCAGCUGGCUGCAACUGUUUAUUAAAAACACAGCACUGUGCAAACACGAAAGUGGACGUAUACGGUGUGACGCCUGCCCGGUGCCGGAAGGUUAAUUGAUGGGGUCAGCGCAAGCGAAGCUCCUGAUCGAAGCCCCGGUAAACGGCGGCCGUAACUAUAACGGUCCUAAGGUAGCGAAAUUCCUUGUCGGGUAAGUUCCGACCUGCACGAAUGGCGUAAUGAUGGCCAGGCUGUCUCCACCCGGGACUCAGUGAAAUUGAACUCGCUGUGAAGAUGCAGUGUACCCGCGGCAAGACGGAAAGACCCCGUGAACCUUUACUAUAGCUUGACACUGAACACUGGUCCUUGAUGUGCAGGAUAGGUGGGAGGCUUUGAAGUGUGGACGCCAGUCUGCAUGGAGCCGUCCUUGAAAUACCACCCUUUAAUGGCUGGUGUUCUAACGUAGACCCGUGAACCGGGUUGCGGACAGUGUCUGGUGGGUAGUUUGACUGGGGCGGUCUCCUCCUAAAGCGUAACGGAGGAGCACGAAGGUUGGCUAAUCCUGGUCGGACAUCAGGAGGUUAGUGCAAUGGCAUAAGCCAGCUUGACUGCGAGCGUGACGGCGCGAGCAGGUGCGAAAGCAGGUCAUAGUGAUCCGGUGGUUCUGAAUGGAAGGGCCAUCGCUCAACGGAUAAAAGGUACUCCGGGGAUAACAGGCUGAUACCGCCCAAGAGUUCAUAUCGACGGCGGUGUUUGGCACCUCGAUGUCGGCUCAUCACAUCCUGGGGCUGAAGUAGGUCCCAAGGGUAUGGCUGUUCGCCAUUUAAAGUGGUACGCGAGCUGGGUUUAGAACGUCGUGAGACAGUUCGGUCCCUAUCUGCCGUGGGCGCUGGAGAACUGAGGGGGGCUGCUCCUAGUACGAGAGGACCGGAGUGGACGCAUCACUGGUGUUCGGGUUGUCAUGCCAAUGGCACUGCCCGGUAGCUAAAUGCGGAAGAGAUAAGUGCUGAAAGCAUCUAAGCACGAAACUUGCCCCGAGAUGAGUUCUCCCUGAGACUUUAGUCUCCUGAAGGAACGUUGAAGACGACGACGUUGAUAGGCCGGGUGUGUAAGCGCAGCGAUGCGUU
rnacentral:rRNA from 1 species